AUAAACAAAGACAUUGAGUAUGUUUACAUGCACAUAAUAAGAGGACAAUUAUCUUAUUAUGAUAUUAUAAAAAUCAGCUUAUUACAUUAACAUGUUUCAAGCGUUUUAAUUUACUUUUAUUUGUGAAGUUUAUCUAUCACAGGUGGAGACAUACGCACAUACGAAACGGCAAAAAAGACGUUAAAAUCUGGUUUAAGAGCAAAAAAACUACCUGUGCCAAUCAGUUUUUGCCAUUUAUGGGCUUUACCCUAUAAAAGAAAACCAUUUUAUGCAUUUAAAUGACCUUACACGUUAUCAGUUUAUUAAGCGUUUAGACUAUGUAGACACACUCACUGUGCACUAAAAUUAAAAAAAUUGGUUAACACGACCACUCGUGGUGGCUUCACUCAGAGGUUGGAGAAGACAACCGGUGGACUAAACAUCAAGCCUCUGCACGAUUCAGGUAAGUGGAAUAAAAUACAUUGUAAAUAAACAUUAUUAAAACAGAUUGUGAAGUCAUUCAUUCAAAACUUGCUAUGACCUAAGCCUAAAUGACUUAAUUUCUUUUUAGAAUUAAGACAACCUUAGCAGGAGAGCCCCAGCAGUAACUUUCUCUCAAGCAGAUGAGCAAUAAGUUGCUUUGUAUGAACACCACCCUAACAAUCAAGUAGCCUGUUAACAGUAGACCAAAGGUAUGAUGAUCAAUUAUAAAUGCAAUAUGGUUGAAAGGUCAGUAAACAAACAACAAAAAGGUAAUUUCUUAAUAGAAUGUCUAUACAUUUUUUGCUUUUGUUACAUAUUUCAUACAUCAAAAUCAUUAAACGUUAAUAAUUAUGUAUUCCAACUUGUUGCAGCUUGACAAAAAUGUAGCUUGAAGGAGAAGGGACAGCUGAGUAACAAAGUCCUGGUACGCAGACGACGAUACUAUUACACUGACAAGAGUGUAAUGAUGAUGGAGACACAAGCCAGAGAAAGGGGGACCAAACACCAGGCCAGAAUUCUGCAUGAGUCAGAUCCAGUGGGUGCAGAUCAUCAUACAGAUGGUUCAAGUGUGGAUCCACCUAAUAUUCAAGAUUUUCUGUCCUGGGACACUCGGCUAACCAUCAAGAAAGAACACAGUAGGUUAACAAGAAUCUGACCUCACGUUUGAUCAUUACAAAAUUAUGGCAGUACAUUACACAUUUAAGGACUGUUAUUCCUCUGGCUGAUUUAAAAAUACCCAAAAGUUCUUAAAAAGAAG